UGCGGAUUGGCAAGUACGCACAGGACUUAAAAUCCUGCGGUGGGUGACCACCGUACGGGUUCGAUUCCCGUCCUCG
rnacentral:tRNA from 1 species